rnacentral:piRNA from 1 species
UGAACGGCCCUUGUUGUGAGG